rnacentral:lncRNA from 1 species
UAGCACUCACUCGGGGUGUUUUUGAGGGCCACAUAAAUCAAUUUAUCUUCCAAAAUUAUAUGAAAAAAUAUAACCUCAUUUCAUUGGAAAAGCAAACCAAGCCAAUUUAAUAUUUAUACAUCACUAAACCCCAUAAUCAAAACAUACAGUAAUAAACAAAUGAAUGAAUUAGACUAUUCCUUUUCUAUAUAUUUUUCAUUAUACAUAGCUUUUCUGUAUAUUCCCUCUUAAUACUAAAUUUGUCAUU